rnacentral:rRNA from 1 species
CAAGCAGUCUAAGCAGACAAUGAUGAAUGUCAUAGGCAAGAAUUAUAAUUUUGUCUAUAAAUGAAAGUGUAAGCAUUCCACCKCAAGAGUAACGCGGCAACGCCGGAACUGARAUCAUUAGACCGUUUCUGAAACCAGUAGUGGAGUAUGUUGUUUAAUUUGAUCGUACGCRAAAAACCUUACCACAGUCUGAAUASAUAUCUAAAUAUCAUACRAGCGCUGCACGGCUGUCUUCAGUUAAUGUCGUGAGAUUUUGGWUAGUUCCAUUAAAUUAACGKAAACCCUUACUUUAUUUUUUAUUAUUAAGUAGUUCACCGGCGCAGCGGUCAUGAUAAAAGGGAUUAAGACAAG